GACGAACCACACGGAACGUUAUUCGGAAUUACUGGGCUUAAAGGGUGCGUAGGCUGUGCGGAAAGUUAGGUGUGAAAUCCCCCGGCUCAACCGGGGAAUAGCGCUUAAAACUACCGUGCUGGAGGAAGACAGAGGUGAGCGGAACUUCGGGUGGAGCGGUGAAAUGCGUUGAUAUCCGAAGGAACACCGGUGGCGAAAGCGGCUCACUGGGUCGUUUUCUGACGCUGAUGGCACGAAAGCUAGGGGAGCAAACGGG
rnacentral:rRNA from 1 species